GGGGGUAUAGUUCAGUGGUACAGCAUUCGAUUGCUAAUCGAUCGGUUCUUGAUUCAAACCAAGGUGCCCCCU